CCUACGGGUGGCUGCAGUAGGGAAUAUUGCUCAAUGGGGGAAACCCUGAAGCAGCAACGCCGCGUGGAGGAUGAAGGUUUUCGGAUUGUAAACUCCUUUUGUUAGAGAAGAUAAUGACGGUAUCUAACGAAUAAGCACCGGCGAACUCCGUGCCAGCAGCCGCGGUAAUACGGAGGGUGCAAGCGUUACUCGGAAUCACUGGGCGUAAAGAGCGCGUAGGCGGGAUAGCAAGUCAGAUGUGAAGUCCUAUGGCUUAACCGUAGAACUGCAUUUGAAACUGUUAGUCUAGAGUAUGGGAGAGGUAGGUGGAAUUCGUGGUGUAGCGGUAAAAUCCGUAGAGAUCAAGAAGAAUACUGAUUGCGAAGGCGACUCACUAGAAUAUAACUGACGCUGAUGCGCGAAAGCGUGGGGAGCAAACAGGGUUAGAUACCCUUGUAGUC
rnacentral:rRNA from 1 species